UGUUUUGUGUAGCUUUGCUUUUUCUUAGGGAUAAAUUCCUAUAAGAGGAAUUGCACAGUUCCAUGGUUUUCUAAUUCAAUACGUGUUGGAAAGGUAUUGAUCAGUGAGAUUUUACCAAUUUGCAUUCCCACCUGCAAAAAUCUAAUGUACCACCAUGGUCUUCCUUUACUGAAUGAUAAUGGAUAUUAUCAUUCUUUUAAAUAUUCGCUAAUUUCACAGGCAAGAAGUAUAUCAGUGUUCUUAUAUUUUGUGUUUCUUUUGCUAAUAGUGAACUAAUUUUUAAAAUUGGGCCAUUUUCAUACCUUCUUUGCAAAUUUCCAGUUAGUAUCUUUUAAGACAUAUAUACUUUGGGGGGCAAUAGACUUCCCCCUUUCUGUUUCAGAAGGCUGUUGAAAGAAUUUGUAAAGUACUCUAUUUGAAACUUAGCAAAGCAGUACACAAAUGUGCCGAUCAAAUGUGUGACCUGGUAGGGGGAAGGUCAGGAAGAAGGGUCACUGCAGACAAGUGGACUGAGUAAGGGGUCCUAAGUGAGGGCCUGGGUAAGGUUUGCUGGAGGAGAAAUAGGGAGAGACACCUGGGGAGGAAGGGAAAGGGGCCCUUGGGAAGGUCACUGGAAGUAAACAAGGUCAGAGACAAGACUGGGGCUGGCAGCUGGAAAUGAGAGCCAAUUAGAAAAAGAAGGGAGCAAGACAGGCCAGGGGAGUAUAAGAAACCAGAGACCGAGAGGGGGUGGGCAGGUAUCUCACCAGCUAAGAAGGGGAAAAAACAGAGUUGCUACUUCUCCAAAGAUUCACCAGAAUUCCAGUGCGACCAAGGCAGCAGGUGUGUGUUCAAGAACAGAAAGGGAAACUGAGCACCACUGAAGACAAGUGUGGUCCCAUGACCCCCGGAGCACACCCAUGUUUUCCAGGUAGUCCCUGGAGAAGCCACACCUGGGAAAGGCAAAAUAUCUAAUAGCUAAAGACCAAAUACUGCACUAAAUUUCCCCAGCAUGGAUGUGAGCCCACUCAGGUAAAAUGAUAUAUAAAGUAUUAAUAUACAUGGUAUGUGUAAUGUAUAUGCUAUAUAUUAGGUAUGUAUUUUUAUUCUCUCUCUAUAUAUAUUAUAUAUGGAUAUGUGCAUAUCCUUGCAUGCCCUUGGUAAUCUCAAGUAAGUGGUAAUGAGGUGGGAUAGGGAGAAAGAAUUAUAUUUGCUUUUAUUCAUUUUUUAAAGUAUUAUUUCACUCGUUACAAUAAGUAUGUAUUACUUCUGUAGUUUGAAAAUAAAGACAAUAAUUUAAAGAAUAAAAAAGACAUGGUAUAUGCUGUAAGUGUUGCUUGCCAUCCUCCACUGUGCAGCACAGGGUGGGGAAUUCACGAGGUAACCGGAGCUAACGUUCUGGGCUGUCACUGGAGCCCGUGCUAACUCUGGCAGGAGAGUCCCAGGGUGCACCUGAGAGUCACACCUGGGCCCCUCAGGGCACCGGGCCCAUCACCAUCUCACAGUUAGAUAAGGGGACAGUUAGGUGACAAGGGGGCACUGCACCUCCUUGGCAGGCAGGACCCUGAACAACAGGUACGACAUUUCUGCAGUCUGGGAGCAUGCAAGGGCCUUCCUUCCCCAUCAGGUGGGCGUGGCCGCCUUGCAGGGAGGAGGCAGGGAUUAGUUGCAGGGGAAAGAACUUGAGCUUGGUGGAGAAGGGAAAAAACUUUCUUCUCCUUCAGUUCAAGGGCUGCCCCUGCAAGGGAUGAAACAAAGUAUCUGACUGGGGUUUUAUGCUGUUUUAUAUCAGGUGAGCUGCUUUAAGGCAAGUCCUGUGUCCUGUGUCAUUCAUAUGCCAGGCACUGUGCUGGGGGCCUGGGGACCAAGCGGGGAGACAAGGCUGAGGUGACCUCUGCCCUCCUGGAGGUGACAGUCCAGCGGGGGAGAUGGAUGGUACAGGAGGACCCAAACCAACAGAGAGUGUCAUCACACGUGGUAAUGAUGGCUCUGGAGGAACCCACCACAAGUCAGGAGUGAAGAGGGGCGAGCCCGUGAAGAGCUGGAGGAAGGAGACCCCAGAGUCUCUCCAUUUACUUCAUCUAAGAAAAUGGAAAUCUACAUGUGAAACAUUAACUGAAGCUUUGCAAUCCAGGUAUGGAAGAUUGCAAAGAGCAAAAGCAUGCGACUGGACAUGUUGACUUAGAGUGAAGAUAUCCCAUAACCACCUCCCAGGACAAGAAAUUAGGGAACUAAUUUGGCAACUAAUUGGGAAACACGGCCAGUGUUCCCAAUGUCUCCUGUGAUGGAACCCCAUCUUCCCCCUCCAAGAAUAACUGCAAUUGAAGAGAAAAUGCUCCAUGUCCCCUCUGCCAGUUGGUGUUUAUCAAAGGACAGUGGAGGAAGAGAGACAAAGUGCCUGAAUAUCUGUGUUAAGCACGAGUUGUCAGCACCCUGCUUCCAAAACGAAGUACUAGAAUGACGUUUUUGACAAGACAUUCUGCAGAGUUGAUGUAGUCUACAGGUUGGCAAACAAGCCCCAAUCAGGUUAAAUCUGACCUGUCAUCUGUUUUUGUAAAUAAAGUUUUAUUGGAGCAUAGACA